CCUACGGGAGGCUGCAGUGAGGAAUAUUGGUCAAUGGACGAGAGUCUGAACCAGCCAAGUAGCGUGAAGGAUGACUGCCCUAUGGGUUGUAAACUUCUUUUAUAUGGGAAUAAAAUGUUCCACGUGUGGGAUUUUGUAUGUACCAUAUGAAUAAGGAUCGGCUAACUCCGUGCCAGCAGCCGCGGUAAUACGGAGGAUCCGAGCGUUAUCCGGAUUUAUUGGGUUUAAAGGGAGCGUAGGUGGAUUGUUAAGUCAGUUGUGAAAGUUUGCGGCUCAACCGUAAAAUUGCAGUUGAAACUGGCAGUCUUGAGUACAGUAGAGGUGGGCGGAAUUCGUGGUGUAGCGGUGAAAUGCUUAGAUAUCACGAAGAUCUCCGAUUGCGAAGGCAGCUCACUGGACUGCAACUGACACUGAUGCUCGAAAGUGUGGGUAUCGAACAGGAUUAGAUACCCUGGUAGUC
rnacentral:rRNA from 1 species